ACUCAAAACCUAAGAUCUUACAAA
rnacentral:siRNA from 1 species